AUUGAACGCUGGCGGCAUGCUUUGCACAUGCAAGUCGAACGGCAGCGCGGGCUUCGGCCUGGCGGCGAGUGGCGAACGGGUGAGUAAUACAUCGGAACGUGCCCAGUAGUGGGGGAUAGCUCGGCGAAAGCCGGAUUAAUACCGCAUACGACCUGAGGGUGAAGGCGGGGGAUCUUCGGACCUCGCGCUAUUGGAGCGGCCGAUGGCAGAUUAGCUAGUUGGUGGGGUAAAGGCCUACCAAGGCGACGAUCUGUAGCUGGUCUGAGAGGACGACCAGCCACACUGGGACUGAGACACGGCCCAGACUCCUACGGGAGGCAGCAGUGGGGAAUUUUGGACAAUGGGCGAAAGCCUGAUCCAGCAAUGCCGCGUGUGUGAUGAAGGCCUUCGGGUUGUAAAGCACUUUUGGCGGGAACGAAAAGGACUGUGCCAAUACCACGGUUCGAUGACGGUACCCGCAGAAUAAGCACCGGCUAACUACGUG
rnacentral:rRNA from 1 species